AACGAACGCUGGCGGCAGGCUUAACACAUGCAAGUCGAGCGAGACCUUCGGGUCUAGCGGCGGACGGGUGCGUAACGCGUGGGAACGUGCCCUUCUCUACGGAAUAGCCCCGGGAAACUGGGAGUAAUACCGUAUACGCCCUUUGGGGGAAAGAUUUAUCGGAGAAGGAUCGGCCCGCGUUGGAUUAGGUAGUUGGUAGGGUACUGGCCCACCAAGCCGACGAUCCAUAGCUGGUUUGAGAGGAUGAUCAGCCACACUGGGACUGAGACACGGCCCAGACUCCUACGGGACGCAGCAGUGGGGAAUCUUAGACAAGGGGGGCAACCCUGAUCUAGCCAUGCCGCGUGAGUGAUGAAGGCCUUAGGGUUGUAAAGCUCUUUCAGCUGGGAAGAUAAUGACGGUACCAGCAGAAGAAGCCCCGGCUAACUCCGUG
rnacentral:rRNA from 1 species